CAAUAGCGUAUAUUAAAGCUGUUGCGGUUAAAAAGCUCGUAGUUGGAUUUCUGUCAAGGACAACUGGUCCGCCCCUCGGGUGAGCACAUAGUUUGGUCUUGGCAUCUUGUUGGAAACUGUUGCUGCACUUGGUUGCGUGGCGCAGUGUCCAGCACUUUCACUUUGAGGAAAUUGGAGUGUUUCAAGCAGGCACAUGCCUUUGGACACAGUAGCAUGGAAUAAUUAGAUUGGGCUUUUGCUCCAACUUGUCGGUUUCUGGAGCUGAGGUGAGAAUUAAUGGGGAUUGUUGGGGGCAUCCGAAUUUAGCCGUCAGAGGUGAAAUUCUUGGAUCUGCUAAAGACGGACAACUGCGAAAGCGUUUGCCCAGGAUGUUUUCAUUGA
rnacentral:rRNA from 1 species